rnacentral:rRNA from 1 species
AUUGAACGCUGGCGGCAUGCCUUACACAUGCAAGUCGAACGGCAGCACGGGUGCUUGCACCUGGUGGCGAGUGGCGAACGGGUGAGUAAUACAUCGGAACAUGUCCUGUAGUGGGGGAUAGCCCGGCGAAAGCCGGAUUAAUACCGCAUACGAUCUACGGAUGAAAACGGGGGACCUUCGGGCCUCGCGCUAUAGGGUUGGCCGAUGGCUGAUUAGCUAGUUGGUGGGGUAAAGGCCUACCAAGGCGACGAUCAGUAGCUGGUCUGAGAGGACGACCAGCCACACUGGGACUGAGACACGGCCCAGACUCCUACGGGAGGCAGCAGUGGGGAAUUUUGGACAAUGGGCGAAAGCCUGAUCCAGCAAUGCCGCGUGUGUGAAGAAGGCCUUCGGGUUGUAAAGCACUUUUGUCCGGAAAGAAAUCCUUGGCCCUAAUACGGUCGGGGGAUGACGGUACCGGAAGAAUAAGCACCGGCUAACUACGUG